UUCCAUUGCUGCUGAUCUUCACGGUCUUUGAUUUUAUGCCUGGAUCUGCAGGUGGGUUUUGAGUUUCUACUAUUUUUGUCUAUUUUUUCUUUUAUUUUGUAUAUUUUUGCAGUGAUUUUGGCAUGCUUUUGUUAUGGGAUUUGUUAUUAUUAGGGAAAUUAAGGUGGUUGGGCAUGAGCAGAUUGGUGCAAUGAUAAGGAUCUUGACCACUUUUUUCCUUUUUCUGACUGCAAGAGUAUGAGCAGAUAUUGUAAUGAUGAAACUUUCAUCAUUGCUAUCUCAUAUUUUCUUCGCUUCCUCUAAAUUUUAUCAAAAGGGUUGUGUUUUUUGUCAGUCUUAACUCUUUUGGGUUCAUCAUUGGGUGGAUUUUUCUCAUGAUGGCUUCACGAAUCUCCUCUGUCCGUUUCUGCUCUCACCUGAUCUGCUUCCUAUACUUGAUUGGCUCCUUCUUCUCCCACUUGUUUUUCUUAGGGUUUCAUCCUGGAUACAUGGUCUCUCACGCUUGAUGAAUUCUCUCGAAAAGAAGCUCUGCCUUCUUCCCCAAACUCCCUUUCUUCCCUUAUCACUGAAAAUACAUAACAGUCAUAUAUAUCAUGGAAGGCCAUCAAGUUUCUUCCUAGUCUAUCUACAAAUAUUCUCUAUGUCUUCAACUUUUUCAUUUUCUGAGACUGGAUCUAUGAUAUCCGGUUAGCUGCUACCCUCUUCAUAGAUGAAGAGAUGGGGCUAGCUCAAAGUUAUGGAUCGCUGUGGUGCAUAAUAUCUUUGAGAAAUGGGUGUCUAAUAUUCUGAUCUGGUUUCUCUUUGCAAUGGUCUCUCUUUGUUUCAUUUCCUUUAUGAUACAGAUUCAACAUAUCUGCUAGAUUUGAUACAAAGGCACUAGCUUUUGAAAUGCGUAUGCUUCACACUACUUCUAUUGCUUAAAGAAAGAGGAGAAUAAUCUUACAAGACCCAAUGAUACAUGACCAAGUUGUGUUUGAGAAGCAACCCACUUACAAUGGCAACGUUUAAAAACCCUAAAAGUAUAAUAAUCUGUGAUUUCUCUAUUGUUUUCCAUAGUCUGUUCUGAAUGAUGAGAUGGAUUGGACCUUUGAUAUUCCUCCAACAGUAUAGUCUUGUUCAUCAACAAAGUUGCAUUUCAGAACUGAAACCCAUGUCGUUUGCUCUCAUACAUGUAUAUAGUUUGUUCUUGUGGAAACCUUCAUUUUGCAGAAUGUGAGGUGGUACUUGGUCGUCAACAUCUUGAGAGGUUGAACAGAAGCAUGUGAGUUCUGGGUGACCAUGCAUGAAAAAUUUCCAGGGAAAAUGAAAAUAAAUGUUGGUAAGCUAACAAGUGAGAUCAGUCAUUGGAGCUCAAAUAUGUGAGCUUUCUCUUGAACGAUUACAAAGUUUGCCUAGAAAAAAACUUAGAACUCCCUGAUCACUUUGAAGUCAAAGAUAAAAGAUGUCUGGGUGUCUGAAAACAGAACUGAGGAGAAAUGGGCAAGUGGGUUUUGGUUUGUUUUUGUGGAAUUCCUCAGGGCACAGGGGGCUGUACUGAAAGAAGUAGAAAGAAAGAAAGAAAGCUGGUGAUUGGAUGGCAAGAAAGAAAUAAGAGAAGGGUCAUCUGGGGGACAACCGUGGUGGUUUGGUGUGGUGUGCCUCAAUGCUGUCAUCAAUUCCUGAAGCUGAGGCAUAUGGAACACUGAAAUGCUUUUAAUGGUCUGACUCUCUCUUUCUCUCUCCCUUGAUCGUACCCCUUACCUUAAUACAGUUGAGUCAACAUCAGCAGUUACGCCAUGGAUUUCUCUCUUUAACCGUGAGUCUGAUUAAAUGGCCUAUUUUUUUUAGUUGUUCAAAAACUAGUUAGGAAUCUAGUACAGAGAUGUCAGCUUGAGUCAUGCAGGCCAACACCAUCACCCCACCCUCCUAAUAACCCCCAUCAUGGCUCAAUCUAGCAAGGGUUUUUGUUUAUUUUAGUGCACUCUCAAUUGACUCCUUGAUGGUAAAAGUAUGGUUUUCAUUACUGCUAUUGGUACUUGCGUCAUGGUUAAAUCAGUAUCUUCUUCUCUUGCUUAAUGGGAAACUGGAUUCCAUUGACCUCCAAUGUCCAAGGCUGAAGACACUUUUUUUUAUUUUUAUUUUUUAUGCUUACAACUUUACUUGAAUUAUUGAAGUGGACAUGACUAUGGAAAGUCAUAUAUAGGUAGCUUUUUAAGCUCCUUGGACUAAUGGACUCAAGGUGUCCCAAAAGUCAGACAUGGAAUGGGCUGCAACAAAGGUGUUUCCGCUGAUUAAAUCUCCUUUUUGAGUUUCACCAACCUGUUUCAACCUUAGAACAGGUUCACAUAUGAAGAUAGAUUUGUUAUUUUCUUCAGCUUAUUACACAUGUAGCUGCUUCUACUUUAGCCACAGCUUGCAAGUAAUAUAUAUAUUUUUUGUUGGGUAUUGCCAGUAAUGACCUGAAAUCAACAUUGUCCAUCUUCCGAUGAGUCUCAUGAGUACUGAUCAUCAAAGAUUUUUCUUCUUUCAUUCAUGGGUCCUUAAUAAACAUGCUAGAACAUCUUGGCCAGUUGGGCUAGUUGAACUGUAAAUAUGUCUACAAAAAUCAAACGAAAUGAAGAAUCAUUUCCAUUAAAUGCGGAAUUCUGUAAUAUAUUCAUGUUCUGAUAUUAGACUAUAAACUUCUGGCCGUGCUAAGGCAAACGGUAUGAAUGGAAAUGCAGGACUCAACCUAUCUGGUGUAAGUAUGAAAAUAAUGUAAAUGGGCAUUUACAAAACUAGCUUCUGUAAGAAGUGCUCUCAAUCCUUUCCUAGCUUUACUUUAUCCAGUCAAACAGCUACAACUUCUAUACUUAACAUUCUCUAAGCAAUUACCAACAACAUAGUACCCAGCUACAAAAGGAAAAUGAGGUUUGCUUUAACAGGUUUAGUAAUACUAUUCUUCCAAAUUCAGCAAAAAAAAAUUAGUUUUUAGUAUCUGAUUGAGCAAACAGUAGCUGUUGGAUAAUGUUUUCAGCUUGGUCUUAAGUAGCUAAGAUAUGAAUUAAGGGCUAUUUGAGGGGACAACAGAGCACAUGCAUGGUAGUCUCAAAAGAGGUCGAUGUUGUUUAGUAAUAGAUUGUUCUCGGAUGCCAUUCCAUCCCUGCCCCACACCAUAAAAUUUUUGUAGCAGGGGUUGUGAUCUGAACAAUCCAGCCCCACAUCUGUCCAAAACGGCCAACUGGAACAUUUAUUUAAGUAAACAUUCAGAGAUGAUUUUAAUGACAGUGACAGUGAUGUUUCUCAUUCAAGUCAUCUUGUUGCUCUACUCUAGAAUCCAGUCCACAGUGGUGGCAUCUUCUUUCAAUAUUUUCUGAGUGCCACUGCUACCAUGCUUCCUUGUUACUGAUUCUGCAUUGAAUAGCUAUCCAUCUAAAAUUGUAGACCAAUAAUAUCUAUAACCAUUCAGGAUUCACUAUUAGAAAUGGGUAUAUGUUUUCACAUUUAUGAUACUAACCCCUUAAUUCAAUCUUCAAUGAAUUGAAUGUGCGCUGGAGAUCAUGGCCUCAUCAUCCUGCCACCUUGCUUUUCCUACUCCAGAAAUGAUGUUCUGGACUUGGAAGAGAGCAUGGCUUAUCUUCACACUAAAGGGCACUUCAAUAAUUGAACUGUUUCGCCAUUUUCAGCCUUUAUUUUUCAUUUCAUUAUUUUGGUUUAUCAGAUUACAGAAAUUACCCUUGAGCAAACUGCAUCCCAUCCCACCUUACUCUUCCAUGGGGCCGAAGAGAGAGUUUUUACUGCUAUUACUCAUCCUGCAACACUUCAUUAGUUUUUUACUGCUAGAUGUCCUAUGGAGAAGAUGGAAUGGACCCAUGCCUAAUUUUCAGUGACCCACAUCCCAUUAUUGAUUAACCAGUCUCACUGGUCUAGGAGAGAAACAUAGAAUGUUAUAAAUGAUGAAAAUGAGCUGGAUUCGAACUCUUCUUUCUCUCCCAACAUGAUGACAAUAUUGUGGCAAUCAGAGUGACAUUAUAUUAUUGUAGAACCCAAAGGGCACAUCAUCCUUACAGAAAUUUCUUAGAUUCAUUAACCAGUACUAUUUAUGAGUGGAGCCUGGAUGAAGCAAGUCCAACAUCUUUCCGUGUACGUUCUUAUUAAUUGAUGUUUAGGGGAUAUCCCUAGCUGGAAAGGACAUGUAAAGGGACAAGCAAAUCGCCAACAAAAGAAGACUUCUACAAAUGUCUUUCUUUUCUGGCAGAAAUGAUUUAGAUCCCGAUUAAUGGAACUAUCUAACAAGAUGAAUAGGUAAUCCAAAUAAUUUAUCUCAAAUUUUAAUUUAUUGGUCAAUGAUUUAUUUGGUAAAUUUUAAUUUACUGGAGAGAAUAUUAAUUAUACAAUAGAACAUUAACAAUAUAUUUGAUAGUGAUUUUAAAGAACGCUUUUAACUUUUUUAAUAUUUGAAUUUUUUUUUUUUGAAAUAUUGAGAAGAUUAAAAACUUUUCUUAUAAUCAUCAUCAAACACAAUCUAAACGUAAGUUGAAAAAUCACCUAUUGAAUCCAAAAGCAACAAGUUAACCAACCAUAAUAAAAUCCAAUCAAAAGACACUCUCUCAUGAUCUCUAAAUCCAUAUCCUAUAGUGGAAUGGACAAGAAUUGGGUUUAGGCCUAAGGAUGAAAAUGUGAUAAGUUCGUGAAGGUAACCCCAUUCCAACCUCAUUCCGUCCAAAAAAAAAAUUUAAACGAGAUUAGAUGGGUAUAGGAAAUUCCUAUUCCUACCUCACCCUACCUUGUUUAAUUUUUUUCUUUCCAUUUUUAAUUUUUUUUCAAUUUUUUUUGAAAAUUUAAAUUUUAUUAAAAAUAAAUAUGAUUUAUAAUUAAAAAAUAUUAGAAAUUGGGUGGGGGUGUGGUGGGAUGGGAUGUUCAAAUUUAUCUUGGAUUUUCAAUGACUUCCCAAAUCUGGCUUGAACUCGGUUAUUUUUAUUCCAAACCCUUACUAUUAAGGGUGGGACCGGACCGGUACUGUUUCCAUCCCCAUUUAAGCCAAGAUGCAACCCAUGACUCCACCAUUGUAAGACACUCAUCAAUGCUUUAGAGUUGAGUUUCCAUGGAGCCUAAUUGUGAAUCCAUAAUGACAGUAAAAGUAGCCACUCACUCAUUUACCCAACAAGGACAAGAUCCAACCAUUAGCAACAGGUGUUGGAGCAUGCAGACACAUAAAGAGCAACUUCAUGUCCACGCCCCCUAGCUCGACAAUGAGAAGCAUGAAUAUGACUCCUAGAUGGUCUAACCUACUCAGCAUCUCUGAUCUCGUCCAUCUCAUCCGCCUUGACCUCAGGUUGAGCAACAUGGUUCACGCGCUUGGACUCAGAGGUCCCGUCCACAGGAGCAGGUUGGCAAAGCACGGGGAGCUUGUGCUGAAACUCAAGUCCGUCCUCGAGAAGGACAUGAGAGAUAAUAAUAGGAAAGGGAAAACCUUCAACACGAAUUUUUGAUGCAUAGGAACCCAUAACAACUAGAAUAAAUCAAGCCAUGUUCAUAUCCCUUGUUUAUGUUUUUAUUGUUUGAGUUUUUCUUGCAAUUCUGUUACUCCAUUAAAUUGGUAUCAGAGUCAUACUAAAAAGAUUACAAAUGAGACAUAUCCAUUUCAAGCCCUCUAAUUCCAUACCAAGAGAGAUGUAUCUAUUUCAAGUCCCCCAAUUCAAUAAACAUUUUUAGAGUAUCAAGAUGAAAAAUUCACUUGAUUCACAAGAUGCAUGAGAGAUCGUAGUAGAGAAAUGCGACAAAGAAUCCCAAGUUGAACUACUCUAUCUGUGAAUCAAUGGAUAUUUUUUGAAAGAUCGAUAAAAAAGCUCUUAUCAUCAUUUAUCAAGUAAUGGAUGAAGGGGCAUUGGAGAAGAUUUCAAACAACUAUGGCCAAGGAAGCAUGAAAGCUAUUACAAAAUAUAUACAAAAUGAGUUGAUAAGAUAUGAAAAGUUUGUUUUCAAACUUUCAGAGGAGAAUUUGAAAGUUUGAAUAUGAAAUAAUCAAAAUCGAUCUUCGAUUAUUGUUUUAGAAUUGUGAAUUUAUUAAAAAUAAACAACGAAAGUUUAUGAUAUUUAUGUGAUUAAAAAAACACUUCAUCUUUAGAUUUGAAGUAUGAUUAUUGAAGAAUUUACAGAUUUAGAUUUUAUGACCAGUGAUAAACUCAUAUGAUCAUUGCGAAAUUAAAAAUGAAGAAUUAAGAAAUAUUUGAACAAAUUCUUCAAAUAAAACUUAUACUAAAGGAGGAUGAAGAAAAUUUUGCUCAUAAAAGAAGUCAAAAUAAUCAUGAUCAAGGCAAUAGAGAAAAUUUUGAGGAAAAUAUAUUCCUCAUUAAUUUAAUUUUCUUUCCUUUAAAAUUUUCUACGGACAGUCAAAUAAGAGAAAAAAUUUAUUAAUUUUUUAAAUAAUUUUAUAUAUUUACAUUUUUUUUCUUCUUAUUUAUCUUCUAGUGAAAUUUUCAGGAACUACAUUGGGCUAAUUUGGGCUCUGUCUUGCCCAAAUUCAGCUCAAUAUUGGGCUAAUUUGGUUUGGUUUGCAUAGUAUUGAAAACCACUUUUCUUUUUGGGCUCAUUGGGCCUGACUUUGGAUCGUCGCCUCAGCCCAACUCAAAGUGGUCCAUGACGCUUAUCAGAUUGACAAAAAGGGGCCCUGAGAGGGUGGUUUGGCAAAAAUUUUCUUCACGAUCGAAUGCUUAAGCCCAAUUUGGGACAAAUUCUAAUUUCUAUUUUUUAAUAUUAGAGGUGGAAAAAGAGAUCAAGAAGAUUUGGUAUUGUUUUAAUUUUUAGGAAAUUUACUUUUAAAUAUAGGAAAAGAAAAAUCAGAUAAAAAAAUAUUUAAACAUUUUCAAAAGUGAUAUUUAAAUAUUUAGUAAAUGAGAUUAUUAAACAUUUGACCAAAAAUAAGGAUGUUAAAAAAAUUAAAUAAUUUCCUUUGAUUGGAUUAUAAAAAAUAAGUUUUUAAUAUUUUUAUUUUUUAUCUUGAAAAUAAAUUAUUAAUAUUUAUUACUUAAUAAUUUAAGUUGACUUUAACUUAACUAUGUGGGUAAAUAAAAAAAAAAAUUGAAUUAAUAAUAAGUUAACGAUUUUAACUUAAUACUUAAAGUUAUUUUUAACAUUAAGUUAUGAUAUUAAAUUAUUUUAUCAAAUAUGUUUAAUCCGCUUAAUAAUUUAAAUUAUGUUAUUAAGUUACUUUAAGUUAUUAAAUGGUUUUACCAAACACCUUUCAAACAAAUUGAUUUAUAUCAAGUCAAGAACCCUCUCCCAUGCCCCACCAUCGAAAAAGAAGCCUACUUUAUUAUAAGCCUUUUUGCAUGGUAUAACAAAUUUUAAAAAUAUUUUUUAAGACACCAUUUUAUCAAAAAACAUUUAUUUUUGUACGAAGAAAAAGGCUAAGGUAUUGACCUACAAAUAGAAAAAAGAGACGUUAAAACAAAGAAAUAAGACUUGAUACAAAGAAAAAG
rnacentral:lncRNA from 1 species